rnacentral:rRNA from 1 species
UACGAAGGGGGCUAGCGUUGCUCGGAAUUACUGGGCGUAAAGCGCACGUAGGCGGUCUUUUAAGUCGGGGGUGAAAUCCUGGAGCUCAACUCCAGAACUGCCUUCGAUACUGGAAGACUUAGAGUCCGGGGAGAGGUGAGUGGAACUGCGAGUGUAGAGGUGAAAUUCGUAGAUAUUCGCAAGAACACCAGUGGCGAAGGCGGCUCACUGGCCCGGUACUGACGCUGAGGUGCGAAAGCGUGGGGAGCAA